rnacentral:rRNA from 1 species
AAAACAUGUCUUUAAGAAUUUUAAUUUAAAGUCAAAUCUGCUCAAUGAAUUUAUUUAAAUAGCUGCAGUAUAUUGACUGUACUAAGGUAGCAUAAUCAAUUGUCUUUUAAUUGAAGAAUGGAAUGAAAGAAUUAAUGAAAUAUAUACUGUCUCAAUUAUAAAUAAUUAAUUUAAAUUUUUAGUUAAAAUGCUAAAAUUUAAUUAUGGGACGAUAAGACCCUAUAGAAUUUUAUAUUAAUUAAAUUAUAAUAUAAUUAUUUAUUAUAUUAUUAUAAUUUAAUUAAUAUUUAAUUGGGAGGAUUUAUAAAUUUAAAUAACUUUAUAAUUAUAAAACUUUGAUUUAAGAAAAUUAAAUUUGAUAUAAUAAUAUUAAUUUAAAAAAUAAAUUACCUUAGGGAUAACAGCGUAAUAUCUUUUUAAAGAACAUAUUAAUAAAGAUGAUUGCGACCUCGAUGUUGAAUUAAGAUAAAUUUUAAAUGUAGAAGUUUAAAAAUUAAGUCUGUUCGACUUUUAAAAUCUUACAUGAUUUGAGUUCAGAUCGACGUAAGU